rnacentral:lncRNA from 9 species
GAGGUGUAUGAGUUUUCUUUAUGUGUGCUUUGGAGAGGAACCUCACGGGCAGGGGUACCCGUCUCCUCAGUGUUUCUGUAGAGCUGCUGUCCACAGCGUGGCAGCCGCUGUCCAGAGGGAGCCAUUUAUGCUUCAUUGAAUUCAGCCAGUAGUUAGGUCUGCCUCUGGCAGUGAACAGAAGAAAGCAGCCAAGGGUUCACUCCCCCGAGCCAGCACGCAAGGGUGUCCGUGCAGCUGGACUUUCAGGUGUGUCACGCUGGGGCUGAGGCCUCCGGAGGACUCCUAGAAGGGAGGCGUGCGUGUAAAGCGCCAUCCCUCAGCAGCCCACGACCUCGGACGGUUUGCCACUGUGGCCAGUGUUUUAUUGAUGCUUCUGAGGCCAUAGAGCACGCACGGGGAAGUUCUGAGCACACGGAGGACAAGCCAGGGCGGUGCUGUGUGGCCGCAGUCAACCCUAAGUAGGGUCCGAGUGGGGGACGGUCGCUAACACCUCGAUUCCUCAUGUCUGUGUUUCUGCAGCUUGGAGCUUGGAGAGUGUGUGUGAGAGCGACCUCGCUGACAGCAACCUCGCAGAAAGUGAUCGAGACUCGGUGGCGGAGCGCACCGACUGCCGCCAGGAUGAGGAGGCUGCAGGUAGGGAAGAGCACGCAGCUGGGAUCCCAGGGGGAGAGGGUUCCUGGAGCAGCUGGGUUCCACCUGCUGCCGGGAGAGGGCGGAAGGGGGCUAGGACUUGGGUGGGUGGCCUACUGAGCGGAACUCCGCUGUUGGUGUUUUCCCCCUCUGAAGUUGCUAAGCCGAAGACGACUUGGGUCCCUGGUCUUUGUUGUGCUGUGUUUGGAUUCGUGUCUCCUUCCUUUGAGAGGGAGAAUGGCUUUUCCCU